AAGUAGUACCUGCUCAUGAUGAAUUUUCAAUAGCCGCAGUAUAUUGACUGUGCUAAGGUAGCAUAAUCAUUUGUCUUUUAAUUUAAGGCUAGAAUGAAUGGUUUAAUGGAGAAGAGCUGUCUCAAGGUAGUAUAUUGAAUUUUGAUUUUUAGUAAAAAUACUAAAAUAUAAUUGAGGGACGAUAAGACCCUAUUAAGCUUUACUUUAUAAGUAUUUUUAGGUUUUACUAAUAAAAUUAGUUUUAAAGUUUUGUUGGGGCGAUAAGUUAAAUAAAGUAUCUUAACUUAGUUAUAAAAUUUUCAAAAGAGCCAUUAAAUUAAUGAUCUUGGGAUUAAGUUACUAUAGGGAUAACAGGAUAAUUUAUUUAGAGAGUUCUAAUCGAUAAAUAAGUUUGUUACCUCGAUGUUGAAUUAAAAUUUCAUUAGGGUGUAGAAGCUCUAUAAAGAAAGUCUGUUCGACUUUUUAAUUUUUACAUGAUCUGAGUUCAAACCGGAGA
rnacentral:rRNA from 1 species